rnacentral:rRNA from 1 species
CGGCGGACGGGUGAGUAACGCGUGGGUAACCUGCCUCAUACAGGGGAUAACAGUUGGAAACGGCUGCUAAUACCGCAUAAGCGCACAGUACCGCAUGGUACGGUGUGAAAAACUCCGGUGGUAUGAGAUGGACCCGCGUCUGAUUAGGUAGUUGGUGGGUAACGGCCUACCAAGCCGACGAUCAGUAGCCGACUGAGAGGGUGACCGGCCACAUUGGGACUGAGACACGGCCCAA